rnacentral:rRNA from 1 species
CAGCAGCCGCGGUAAUACGUAGGUGGCAAGCGUUGUCCGGAAUUAUUGGGCGUAAAGGGCUCGCAGGCGGUUUCUUAAGUCUGAUGUGAGAGCCCCCGGCUCAACCGGGGAGGGUCAUUGGAAACUGGGAAACUUGAGUGCAGAAGAGGAGAGUGGAAUUCCACGUGUAGCGGUGAAAUGCGUAGAGAUGUGGAGGAACACCAGUGGCGAAGGCGACUCUCUGGUCUGUAACUGACGCUGAGGAGCGAAAGCGUGGGGAGCGAACAGGAUUAGAUACCCCAGUAGUCCCUGUCUCUUAUAC